CGGAGUGUGGCGCAGCUUGGUAGCGCACCACAAUGGGGUUGUGGGGGUCGGAGGUUCAAAUCCUCUCACUCCGA
rnacentral:tRNA from 1 species